GUAGUGGAACAUAGAAACAUAGAAUGUGACGGCAGAUAAGAACCAUUCGGCCCAUCUAGUCUGCCCAAUUUUCUAAAUACCCACAUUAGGUCCCUAGCCUUAUCUUAGAGUUAGGCUAGCCUUAUGCCUAUCCCAUGCAUGCUUAAACUCCGUUACUGUGUUAACCUCUACCACUUCAGCUGGAAGGCUAUUCCAUGCAUCCACUAUCCUCUCUGUAAAGAAAUACUUCCUGAUAUUAUUUUUAAACCUUUGCCCCUCUAAUUUAAGACUAGGUCCUCUUGUUGUGAUAGUUUUUCUUCUUUUAAA